AUUGAACGCUGGCAGCAUGCUUUACACAUGCAAGUCGAGCGGCAGCGCGGGGGCAACCCUGGCGGCGAGCGGCGAACGGGUGAGUAAUGCAUCGGAACGUAUCCUCGAGUGGGGGAUAACCCAGCGAAAGUUGGGCUAAUACCGCAUGAGCUCUGAGGAGGAAAGCGGGGGACCUGCGAGGGCCUCGCGCUGGAGGAGCGGCCGAUGUCCGAUUAGCUAGUUGGUGGGGUAAAGGCUUACCAAGGCGACGAUCGGUAGCUGGUCUGAGAGGAUGAUCAGCCACACUGGGACUGAGACACGGCCCAGACUCCUACGGGAGGCAGCAGUGGGGAAUUUUGGACAAUGGGGGCAACCCUGAUCCAGCCAUGCCGCGUGAGUGAAGAAGGCCUUCGGGUUGUAAAGCUCUUUCGGACGGAACGAAAUGGGCGGGACUAAUACUCCUGUCUGAUGACGGUACCGGAAGAAGAAGCACCGGCUAACUACGUG
rnacentral:rRNA from 1 species